ACCGUAUCAUCGUCAUCGUCGUCUUCGUCGAGAUGGAGAAAGUGAUGAGGUUGGCAUCUGAAAAGGGUGUGGUGAUAUUCACAAAAAGUUCAUGUUGUCUAUGUUAUGCAGUUAACAUUUUGUUUCAAGAACUUGGGAUUAGGCCUAUGGUUCAUGAAAUUGAUCAAGAUCCUGAAGGAAGGGAUAUGGAGAAAGCUUUGUUGAGGUUAGGUUGUACUGCACCUGUUCCAGCUGUGUUCAUUGGAGGGAAACUUAUGGGAUCUACCAAUGAAAUUAUGUCACUUCAUCUAAGUGGUUCACUCACUCAAUUGCUCAAACCAUAUCAAUCUCGUUCUUGAAUCAUGAUACCUUAGCUUUUAGCUUCUUGGUGGAAGAAUAAAUUUGCUUGUGAUUUAGUACAUUAGUGUGACCUUAGUAAUAGUACUAUUGUAUUGAUAGUCUAUGUAGUGUUUUUAUAUGUCUCAAGUGUUUUCUAGCAUUUCAUUAGCUAUAAUGUAAUCACAUAAAUAAUUAAAUAUAUUCUUAAUUAAUCAAGUUUGAUUUAUAUCCUUGUACAAGUGCACCAACAAUCUAAUUAUGUAUUUAUGUUGUUUCC
rnacentral:lncRNA from 1 species